AGCGAACGCUGGCGGCAGGCUUAACACAUGCAAGUCGAGCGGGCACUUCGGUGUCAUCGUCAGACGAGUGAGUAACACGUGGGAACGUACCCUUCGGUUCGGAAUAACGCUGGGAAACUAGCGCUAAUACCGGAUACGCGCUAUUGGGGAAAGGUUUACUGCCGAAGGAUCGGCCCGCGUCUGAUUAGCUAGUUGGGUGGGUAAUGGCCUACUAAGGCGACGAUCAGUAGCUGGGCUGUGAGGAUGAUCAGCCACUCUGGGACUGGGACACGGCCCGGAAUCCUACGGGAGGGAGCAGUGGGGAAUAUUGGACAAUGGGCGCAAGGCUGAUCCAGCCAUGACGGGUGAGUGAUGAAGGCCUUAGGGUUGUAAAGCCCUUUUGACCGGGACGAUAAUGACGGUACCGGAAGAAUAAGCCACGGCUAACUUCGUG
rnacentral:rRNA from 1 species